GUAGGCUAUGGAGACAUGGUUCCAACUACCAUUGGGGGAAAGAUAGUGGGAUCCCUGUGUGCAAUUGCAGGUGUGUUAACUAUUGCCUUACCAGUCCCUGUCAUAGUGUCUAAU
rfam:Mesocricetus auratus contig106307, whole genome shotgun sequence.